rnacentral:piRNA from 1 species
UACAAGUAGAAAGUGAAAUUGAUUUGUGCA